rnacentral:rRNA from 1 species
GAUGAACGCUAGCGGCAGGCUUAAUACAUGCAAGUCGAACGGUAAGGUCUCUUCGGAGAUACACGAGUGGCGCACGGGUGCGUAACGCGUAUGCAACCUACCUUUAACUGGGAAAUAGCCCCGAGAAAUCGGGAUUAAUGUCCCAUAUUAUUCUUUGAAUACCUAUUCGAGGAAUGAAAGCUCCGGCGGUUAUUGAUGGGCAUGCGUGACGUUAGCUAGUUGGUGAGGUAACGGCUCACCAAGGCAACGAUGUCUAGGGGUCCUGAGAGGGUUACCCCCCACACUGGUACUGAGACACGGACCAGACUCCUACGGGAGGCAGCAGUAAGGAAUAUUGGGCAAUGGACGCAAGUCGGACCCAGCCAUGCCGCGUGAAGGAUGAAUGUCCUAUGGAUUGUAAACUUCUUUUAUGCAGGAAAAAUAUCCCGGUCGUGAACCGGGACUGAUGGUACUGUAUGAAUAAGCAUCGGCUAACUCCGUGCCAGCAGCCGCCGUAA